AGGACGAACGCUGGCGGCGUGCUUAACACAUGCAAGUCGAGCGGAAAGGCCACUUCGGUGGUACUCGAGCGGCGAACGGGUGAGUAACACGUGAGUAAUCUGCCCCUGGCUUUGGGAUAGCCACCGGAAACGGUGAUUAAUACCGAAUAUGACAGACCCUCGCAUGGGGGUGUGUGGAAAGUUUUUCGGCCAGGGAUGUGCUCGCGGCCUGUCAGCUUGAUGGUGAGGUAAUGGCUCACCAUGGCUUCGACGGGUAGCCGGCCUGAGAGGGUGACCGGUCACACUGGGACUGAGACACGGCCCAGACUCCGUACGGGAGCAGCAGUGGGGAAUAGUUGGACAAGUGGGGACGGAAAGCCG
rnacentral:rRNA from 1 species